rnacentral:rRNA from 1 species
AUACGUAGGUGGCAAGCGUUGUCCGGAAUUAUUGGGCGUAAAGCGCGCGCAGGUGGUUUCUUAAGUCUGAUGUGAAAGCCCACGGCUCAACCGUGGAGGGUCAUUGGAAACUGGGAGACUUGAGUGCAGAAGAGGAUAGUGGAAUUCCAAGUGUAGCGGUGAAAUGCGUAGAGAUUUGGAGGAACACCAGUGGCGAAGGCGACUAUCUGGUCUGUAACUGACACUGAGGCGCGAAAGCGUGGGGAGCAAACAGGAUUAGAUACCCUGGUAGUCCACGCCGUAAACGAUGAGUGCUAAGUGUUAGGGGGUUUCCGCCCCUUAGUGCUGCAGCUAACGCAUUAAGCACUCCGCCUGGGGAGUACGGUCGCAAGACUGAA